AGUGAACGCUGGCGGUAGGCCUAACACAUGCAAGUCGAACGGCAGCACAGUAAGAUCUUGCUCUUACGGGUGGCGAGUGGCGGACGGGUGAGGAAUACAUCGGAAUCUACUUUUUCGUGGGGGAUAACGUAGGGAAACUUACGCUAAUACCGCAUACGACCUACGGGUGAAAGCAGGGGAUCUUCGGACCUUGCGCGAUUGAAUGAGCCGAUGUCGGAUUAGCUAGUUGGCGGGGUAAAGGCCCACCAAGGCGACGAUCCGUAGCUGGUCUGAGAGGAGGAACGGCCACACUGGAACUGAGACACGGUCCAGACUCCUACGGGAGGCAGCAGUAGGGAAUCUUCGGCAAUGGGCGAAAGCUUGACGGAGCAACGCCGCGUGAGUGAAGAAGGUCUUCGGAUCGUAAAACUCUGUUAUUAGGGAAGAAAAAAUGUGGAAGUAACUAUGCACGUCUUGACGGUACCUAAACAGAAAGCAACGGCUAACUACGUG
rnacentral:rRNA from 1 species